AAAAAUUAAGAGAAUUUGUCAACAGCAGACCUGUUUUACAAGAAAUGAUAAAGAAAAAUGAUACCAGAGAGAAACUUGGAAUUUCAGGAAUGAAGGAAGAGCAACAGAGAUGGUAAAAAGCUUUUACUGUCUUAGUUCACGGCUGUACGGAAACAGGCGACAGGCUAGAUUUGGCUCACAGGUCGUGGUUUGCUGGCCCCUGACGGAGAGCACGGCGAGGACCACAGACGCCCUCAAGCGCACCCUUUCCCGAGCUUUCUCUUAGUGUGCAUCAAGAUGUGUAAUUUCUGGGUCACAGAGACAUUUAAACGUUCCUAAAUAAUUCCGAAUGGUUUUCCAUAAUGGUUGCAUCAUUUUACACUUUCACUAACAGUGCAUAAAGAAUUACAUUAAAAAAAUUUCUUACCAGUCUGAUAUUAUGUGAUGUUCCUCUUUGUGGUUUUAAUUUUCUUUUUCCUGAUAAAUAGUGAAGUUGAGUGUCAUUCACAUGUUUACUGGAUGUUUGAGUAUCCUCUUCUGUAACGUGCCA
rnacentral:lncRNA from 1 species